rnacentral:rRNA from 1 species
UCGACCCCUAAGGCGAGGCCGAAAGGCGUAGUCGAUGGGAAACAGGUUAAUAUUCCUGUACUUGGUGUUACUGCGAAGGGGGGACGGAGAAGGCUAUGUUAGCCGGGCGACGGUUGUCCCGGUUUAAGCAUGUAGGCUGGUUAUCCAGGCAAAUCCGGAUAAUCAAGGCUGAGGUGUGAUGACGAGGCACUACGGUGCUGAAGUAACAAAUGCCCUGCUUCCAGGAAAAGCCUCUAAGCAUCAGGUAACAUCAAAUCGUACCCCAAACCGACACAGGUGGUCAGGUAGAGAAUACCAAGGCGCUUGAGAGAACUCGGGUGAAGGA